GGGGCUGAUUCUGGAUUCGACGGGAUUUGCGAAACCCAAGGUGCAUGCCGAGGGGCGGUUGGCCUCGUAAAAAGCCGCAAAAAAAUAGUCGCAAACGACGAAAACUACGCUUUAGCAGCUUAAUAACCUGCUGAGAGCCCUCUCUCCCUAGCCUCCGCUCUUAGGACGGGGAUCAAGAGAGGUCAAACCCAAAAGAGAUCGCGCGGAUGCCCUGCCUGGGGUUGAAGCGUUAAAACGAAUCAGGCUAGUCUGGUAGUGGCGUGUCCGUCCGCAGGUGCCAGGCGAAUGUAAAGACUGACUAAGCAUGUAGUACCGAGGAUGUAGGAAUUUCGGACGCGGGUUCAACUCCCGCCAGCUCCACCA
rnacentral:tmRNA from 1 species